rnacentral:lncRNA from 1 species
CCUCCCCUGUCCGCCCAAGGCUCAAUAACAAAUUCGCCCAGCACUACAACAAAUUCAUGAUUUAGCGGCAUUUACUCCGCAGCAUUUAUUUAAAUAACGCUAAUUAAUAUAUUUAACAGCAUUACUUGAUAAGUGCCGCUAGAUUUAAAAAUUUAGCAGCAAUUUACUAUUAAUGUUGUAAAAUAGAAUAAAUUAGCAGCAUAAAUUAGUGAAUGCCGGUGAAGUUUCCAGCAUUUUAUAAAAAAUGAUACUAAAUGCAAUAAAGUAGCAACGCUUAUUGCUAAAUGCCGCAAUAUUUGCUCCGCAACAUUUAUUUAAAUCACGCCAAUUAAUAUAUUUAGCAGCAUUAC